CCGAGCCCGAGCGGACGCAUGCUCAUUGCUCGACAGCUGGCGUUUCCUUUCCGAGCGUGUUGCGGAGGCGGGGCCGGUGGCCCUGGCCUGGAACCAUGGCCUUAUUCCCGGCUUUCGCGGGCGUUAAUGCUGCCCCUGAGUCCUCCGCUGGUGGCAGCUCCAGGAGGGAUUUAGACUGGUUGAGCAACCCAAGCUUUUGUACUGGAAACAUACCAACCCUGCAACAAAAUACUGUAGAGAUUGCAGCCUUUACUUCUGAGAAGCAACUGCUUACAAGGUAGCGUUUCCUUUGACAUUUUUCUUAAUGGACUUUCUCUUACAUGUUGUGUUAUUUGCCACUGCAACUAGUAUAAGAAGGAACUUCUGCAUCUUAGCUUAAAUGAAGCUUCUUGAAAAACUUUAGUAAACACCACACUGAUCUUUUCUGAGCUAUAUUUUUCCUUAUCUCACUGUGUGACAUUUCCUUUUUUCUUUCCUUCUCCCUUUUCCUCCCCCUCCUUCCAUUUUGCAAUGAAAUUACAGGUAGUGCUUUUGUAAUUAGGCCAGGAGGGAAAUGUCAGUAUCAUGAUUCUUAAGCAGCAUAAAUUUAUUUGUUUUAAUAUUUAUUAUUAACAUUUGUUUUGAUACAACAGACAUUUCCAAACAAAUCUCCAAGCAUCCUUCCUUCCUUACAAGGUUUAUUCCCCAGAAAAGUAUAUCAAUUUAUCAGCACAAAGGAGGGAGAGGUUCCUUAACAGACAGUGUGGCACUACUAAAUUAAAUGUUGUAGUUGAACAGUUUUGUUGCCUGGCCAUGUUGACUUUAUUUACAUUGUUAUAGACAAUGUAGAUAUUGUUCUUUUCACUUUCUUUAAAGCAACUUUACUGACCUCCUUAAUAAUCUCUCAAAUCUUACAGUUAAGAUAGCUCCUUUUUUUCUAUUUCUUUUUUAAAAAAAUUUUUAUUAAUUAAUUAAUUUUUAGUUUUGAACAUUUUCUUCCAUAAAAUUUUGAGUUCCAAAUCUUCUCCCCUUCCAUCCCCUCCUCCCACCCCAAGAUGGCAUGCAGUCUAAUAUAGGCUCUACAUCUACAUUCAUAUUAAGCAUAUUUUCACAUUAAUCAUGUUGUAAAGAAGAAUUAGAACCAAUAGGAGGAACUACAGAGAUAGGUCCUUAAUCGUACUUUGAUCUCUUUUUCAUAAAAAUUGACUUAUGCCUUUUACAUUCUACUCCUGGCUUAUAUGAAAUUCUGAAAAAAGGUUGCUUUUUUUUUUAAACCAAUAUGUAAUUUGUGUCCAGUUUUUU
rnacentral:lncRNA from 1 species